AGUACGUCACCGACAGUGCCAUCGAAAAGAAGGAGGAGGCGGUGAGCCGGACUCAGCACUUGGGAAUUAUAGUGUGUAGAGUGUUGAGUAUGGAGUAGGACUGUCGCUGGCAUCUGGUCACACUGUUAAGGGGUUUCUUGUCAAGUAACGUGCCGGGAUUCUUUCAAUUCUCGAAUCUUUAAGAGUCAAUAGUGUCUUCGAACAAGUGUAGUGUACCUAACGUUUAAAUUGCCCAAAAAAAUUUGCAACUUUUUUACGACGCAGUUGCAAAGAAAACAAAGCAAGCCAGCCAAGAGCAACUUAAACGACGUAUUUAACAAUAAAAAAAAAACGAAAAAACCUAAAGCGAGAGAGGCGAAACUAGGGGAACACAACAACAACAAACGCGACAACAACAAGAAUUAAAAACAAACUCGCUUGCGACUUUUGAGCCUCGCAACUGAAUAAUUAAAAUUAGAAGCGGAAAAGUAAAUACAAAAAAAAAAAAAAACAAUAAAUAAAUUUCAAAUAAAGAACCCGAAACGCUUAUACAUACAUAUGUACGUACGUACAUAUAUAAGUAUUUGGAAAGAACAAAAAAUGGCGCACAAAGAAACUGUGAACUUAUACAAUCAAAAAAAUUUUAUUUGAUUGCAUGUCCAUAUAUAUGUAUGUGUACAUGUGAACUUUGUACCAGUGACAAUGAGACGACAGACGCAGAUGAUGAUUAAGGCAGCGAUGAUGAAUGAAACUGUGCCCUACGCUGAUGUACGACCGAUGUACUAUCAAUGAAAGGGCCUACAAGAUACAGAGAUAUAAGAUAAAUCAAAACAAACACACCCUAUAACAGAGUUGUGGGGUGGGAGUGGAUAAGCUCUUUAUACACACUCUUUUGGCGGCGUGCAUUGAACUAAUUUGUCGUUGUUGCUCUUGCUGUUUUUUUGUACGCGACUAGUUUUCCUCGUUUCGUUUCUUUUGCCUUUUUAUAAUACCCUCUGUGUAUUUAUUUAAAGCGCAAAUGUUUUAGAUACGACAUAUAGCCAGGGGGAGGGCGGCGAUGGGGGCUACGAGGGGGCGGGGACCAGACCAGAGCUAGCCAGUCAGACCGCUGUCGACAAAUAAAACAACAAAGUAAACUACAGAAACAACUAAAAGGCAAACUUGCCUAUCUGCCUAGCCUUAUAUUGAUGUUGUUGGUGUGUUGUUGUAGCUGCUCUUGUUGUUGCUGAAUUUCAGUGCGUGUGCUCAGCAUUUAACUAAACUGGCACACACGCACACCAACACCAGCGAACGGAAAACGAAAAAAAAAAUUAAAACACACCAACACUCAACAACAGCCACACAAAGAGGCACACCAACAGACACACCAACACCAUCACACUGAGUUGUCAGGGCUGGCAGUCUAGUGCUUAUAUAAUCACCGUCUAAUGGGCUUUGUUUGUAAGUAUUGAAUGCAAUUUGUUUAAAAAUGUUUUAUUUCAUUAUUACGUGUGUUAAAAUGUGCAGCGCCCUUGUGUGCAUGCAGUGCAACUCGAACAGCUGUUUGCCAUAACACAAAACAGCUGUUCCACUGCAAGUCCUAAAAAAGAAAAAAUAAGUAAAGGAAAACAAAAAGAGCGACUGCGACGCCGGCUGCGCAGCCAUGUGUCCUUACAGCAGUCAAUUUGAGAGACUUUCUUGCGCACCAAAAAAAUAUCAAGUAUACGCAACCGACACCGCAAUCGGGAGAGCGAGCGAGCGACCGAGUGCUCUCUCCCCGCGGCGUUGCCAGAUUGUCAUUUACUGUUAUUUAAGUGAAUCCAUAUACAGGCAAGCUUCGCAAAGGGGAACCACAGUUGCACCGGUAAAUUAAUUAAAACUAUUAUAAACUGAAGCUUAAAAAUAACUAUUAUGGGUUAUACUUAAAAUUAAAUACACUAACCGUGCUAAAAAUAAUAUAAUUCUUACAAAUUGAGCUUGAGCUAACUGAUCUUGUUAAUAAUAUUAUAAUAUUGUAGUGUGAGCAUUAAAAAGGUGUUGCAUACUUUUGAAAAUGUUUUAUCCCGGUAAGCCCGAUAUCCCAGGCAAUUUUUCUAAACGUAUUGAGUUUAAAAUGUUUAUUUUGUAACAAAUUUUUGUUCAGAAGGACAAAUGGUUUUCAAUUACAGAAGUCAACUGCAACCCAGUUAGCGUAUUUGAAUGAAAUCACUUAAUUCGAUAAUUGAACAUUGUUACGAGUAUUAUUAAUAUUUUUUGUGCGCCUCUGGUAAUUUGAAACCCAUUAGGGUUGCCAAAGCGCCGCGGUAAUUUGGUGAGCGGCAAAACUAGUGCGCAAAAUGAGUUUGCAGCCCCAAUGCGUAUUGUCCGUACUAUAUAGUACGUAAUAAACAGCCAAGGCGCAAUAUGCGCAGCUUCAAUACAGAGCCGACAGAUACGGAUACAGAUGGGCACACACUAAAUAGUUUUUCGGAAGGGGUUUUCGCUGUUUUCGGGCUUUCGGGCUAUCGGGCUGUCGGGGGCCGAGGCCUACCCAGUUCUGAAUGGUUGCUGCUGGCGUUAUUGUUGUACUUGGAGGCGCCUUAUUCGAGCCUCAAGUUCGCAUCGAGGGAAUGAACUGGCAAACGAGUCGCCAUGUGUAUCUGUGUUUAUAGUUAUUGUUGUAUGGUAGUUUUUUCUGCUUUUUGUAGUAGUUUCUGUCUUUCUAUUAUAUUUAAAUGCGCAAUUAAGAUUGGCACUGCCCGUGGCAGCGCAACAACAACACGAAACACAAGAAAACAACAGCAACAGAAGCGGUAACAAGAUCAAAGUAUUCACAAAAUUGAACCAGUUUGAGUUUUACGCAUUUAUCAUUCGUCGUCCGAAUCUGAUCAAAAUCGCACAACCUAAAUCCGCGAACAGCAGAUCUUUGGCUGUAGAUAAAAAACACGAGCCAAGAAUUAAAAUAAUUUCGUUUUCUGGGGGUAAAAUUAACCACAUGCUCCAUGUUCCAUAUUCGUGAUUGAUCGAUCCGCUUUGACACGAAUAUUUUGUUUAAUUUGUGGGAACCAAAACAUAAUGGCAAGACAUUAAGGGUUUAACUACAAAUUGGUAAGACAGGAAUGUUUGUCAAGCCUCCAAUUAGCAAGUUGCUUUCUCUUCAAAUGAUAAUGUCACUCAAUGGGAAAUGCGUUUAGUCAGAAAACUACAAGUGAAUAGAUAUAUAUAUAUUUCUGUUUCUGUCACCUUGAUUCCAACUUUAUUGAAGAUUUUUAAGAUCCAAUAUUAUAUAUUAAAAGCUUUGAACCAAAAUAUAACGUAUACGUAUGGUAAAAAUUAAAUUUCCCAGCUUAAACACGCGAACAUUUUAAAACUAUAGAACUUCUCUCGAGCUGCAGUGAACUUUAAUCCAAAAAAUACUUAUUUUUAAGACACCCUCUAUCCUAGAUGCUCUAUGACAUUUUAUGGCUUUUAAUUGACCAGACGCUGUCGCACAUGUCCAACGAUAAUGAUCCGUUUAGUUAUUUUCGUAUAGACAGCGAUUUAUUUAUAAAUGCCGCGACGGAUCUCUCCUUCUGCCAGCUAUAUUCUGCUAGCUAUAUCUGCCACAGUGUCUGCCAUAAUUAGGCGCACAGUUGGCGCAAUUAAGGCGCUGGCCAAAGUCUUUUACAAGCGAACGUCAUCGAGCAGCAUAAAUAAUCGCAAUCCAAAUACGCGGCCAAACAAAUAUUAACAAGAUUUGAGAUCUGAGAGGAAAUCGCGGCAUCGCCUGGAAAUCGUUUAGCUUCUUCGUUCUUUUUUGUUUGGCUCUGACGUAAAAUGGCCCGAGUCAAUUUCGAUUUCAUUCAGCUCUCGAUGACGUACACAUUGGCCUCUCAACGACCACCACACACCGAACACCACCCACCGCCCACCACCCACCGCACAACGCCACUUUACAUUGCCGCAGCAGACAACCUUGUAAAGUUUUUGUGCGUCAUUUGCCGCUGCUAUUUUUUCAGCCACGGCUCUUUCCCUUCUGGGCAGCCGUUGUUUUGCAAUAUUAUCGCCGCCGCAUCUCCAAUAAUAAUAUCAACUCGUAAAUGUCCAGGCCCUGCACAAAAAUUACACAGAUAUAUGUACAUGUGGUACAUUCAUAAGUUUCCUUGCGUGCGUCAUAGUUUUCUGUAAUUCUCGAUCUCGUUACUGCCUGGCCAUUUCCAUAUCUACUUACAAUAUGUACAUAUAUGUAUGUAUAUAUAUUUCUAAUCUGUCGGCGGUCGUUGAUCGUACUCAUCGAGUUUCCCCGAAAGUGACUAAGUGGCAUGGCUACUUUCUCGGCUAUUCUGGGCUUAUUUGUAUAUGGACUUGGAGCUGGUCAUGGAUUGGUUCUGGUUCAUAGGUCGCCUGUGACUCAAUCUGCAAAUGUGCAAAUUCGAUUUCCUAUUCUGGGAACUAUCAAAUCGUUGCCGUUUUCUAAUCUCUAUAAAUACCAAGGGUCGUUAGAAUUUCAGAGAAUUCUUAGUGAAUCAGAUCGGACUUAGUAGGUAGUUUUUUACGAGUUGCGACGAGUUUUUAAAUACUUUUCUCUAAGCGCCAUAUGUCUUUUUUUAGCAAUAAUAAAAAAAAAGCAAUUAAGUGGCACCUCUAACUAGUGCAGACUCAGGACAAUUCAGGCAAAUGCGAGGGGUUCGAGUUCCUGAGGACUGACUGACUGACUAGCUGAAUGGGUAUCAGAACCGACCACAUCGCCUUGGGUAUUCGUAUUCAGAUGUACAUGUGCCCCCCCGACCAUGUGCCAUAUCAAAUCCUAUAUAAUCCGAACAAGAGGCUGGGAAUCAAGCGUGUAUUCAAGCGACUUAUUUAGACACUCGCUCGCAUUUCGACUUGAAUGAGUUAGUUGUGUUGUUUGUUGUUGUUCGGUUUACUUCCGUUGCUACUAUAAUGGGUGUACGCGAGUGUGCACGUGUGUGGGUGUCGUGAGCGUAUAUAUGCGGAUCUGAGUGUGGGUGCAUGUGUGUAUUAUGUUUUUGUCGCUGCCUGCGAUUUUCAUUCAUUAAAUGCAAGCGCAGCACACACACACACACAUGCGCAGAUUGCGACGGCACGCACACACGAAUACGUAUUCGAUUCAUUCAUAAAUUCAUGCAGCAGCAGCAGCAGCAGCAACAAACGCCGCCCCCUCCUCCCACGCCUACACUGCGGCCUCUGCCACUGGCUCUGCCUGCGUCGGCGUCUCGUAUCAUCGCUCCAACAACAACAAAAACGGCAGCACUAUGGCAGCAGCAACCUCAAAUGCGCUCUUGCUACUGCUGCCGAUGCACUGCAAGAAAUGGACGCCAAAUAUGAAAUAUCCCAAUGCUGGAAAUAAUAGUUUUUGCUGGUUAGCGUGUAUUUUUGGGCACAGAACCUUUUCAAGUUAUCGUUUAAAGAAAAAUGUACCACUUGCUAGAAAAAUAAUGUAGCCUACUUACCAGCUUUAAAUGCUUUAGAGAUUUAAAAAAUAUUUAACUAUUCAAGCACGAUUUCUUACUGUGUCCCUCUGUUUUAUCUCUGGCAAACAUCGCACCGUGGUUCCCGUUUCCAGUCUCCAUUUCCACAAUUUCCCCAUUCCAACCCCCCUCCCAAUGCUUCGUUGCAUUUUAUAGAUUCGUUCUAAAUUUCAAUGAAAUUUCAUUGAGCACGCAUAGCACGGCAGCAACAACACCAUCAACAAUCACUGAUAAGUUCGGAUCGGAUCCGUAUCUCUAUCGUUUGUCGUUGUUUGCUAUGGGGUCAGUCAUUCAAUGGGAUCGACCCGAGCAUAGCAUGCCCCAUCCAAGUUCCCUUAAUGUGCUGAUUUCGUUCAUUCACAAUAUACGAUUGUGUUCGCAAUUAUGGUAAUAAAAUAAUAAAAACUCUAUUAAACGUACUUCCGGUACGCGAUUAUACCAAUAACCUACAAAAAUAAAUGAGAACUAUAAAUAAAUGGUACAUACAUAUAUACGCUACAGUAUCGAUCCAGUAUCAGUCGGAGUCAAGUCUUACUUGGCCAACUCUUGGCAUCUAAAAUUGAAAUUAAUACUAUCCCACUAAUAUCGACCCUGUGACUACUAUUAUUUUGCCCACAACUGUGAUUAUGCACUGUGUACGGUUAUGAAUGAAUGAAGUUCACACACACUCGCACACUGGCACUCACCCACACGUGCAGCUAGCUACCCACACAUACCCACACUCGGGUUUGCUUCGUCGGUGUGGUUUUGGUCACAUUAUUUCCGGCUGGCGGCUUUUGGCUGGGUUUAUAUUUAUAGCUGGGGCGUCGGAACUUCUUCUUCAUCAGCAGCGUAGUCUUCUGCCUACUUACGGCUCUUCACCGGCUGCUUCUUCUCUGCCUUUGGUCUCAACAUGUUGCACACUUAAAAAAAAAUCGGACUUUCUUGCAAUACAAAUUUUAAAAGCGUUUUAAAGGGAGAACUAUUUAAUGGAAGGAAUGUAAUUUUGUAUAGUUCCAUUUCAAAUCUUCGAAGAUGAAAUUUUUUUCAAAUUAAUUUUCAACUCCGAUUUCCAAGUGACUUUUCUCUCUGUGUGCUGUGUGUGCCACUCCAAAAAUGCAGUUGGCAGCACUUCCUCAUUUGGACGCACCGGAAGUGAGCGGAAAUGCUCGCACACUCGCAUUAGUCACUUUUGUUUUCACUUCUUGAGACACCCGCCCGCACCAUGUGUCCCAUAUAUCCCCACAUAUGUAUAUGUACAUACAUAUAUCCCCACUUUAGCUUCCGUUGAUAAAAUCCAGUCCCGCGACCUCCCGUCCCGAUCCCACUGGCUGCUAUUUAUGGCGAAAGUGUUUGGUGGAGUUUGUUAUUGUUGGGCUCCCGAGUUCAAUAGUGCUUUGAACUCUAGCUGCCCCUCUUGCCGUCUCUUUCGUUUCGUGUGUGUCUGACUCUUUCUGGCUGGGAAUGCAUCGAAAAUAGAGCGGCAAAUUGUCUGGCUGCUUCUGCUGCUCUUGCUGCUGCUUUGGCUUUGGCUUUAGCUUUAGCUUCAGCUAUAGCCGUGGCGAAAAAGGGCGAAUGAAUGGGUCUCAGAUCAGGAAAGGCGGCGGCGGUGGCGGCAGAGGCGGCGACGACGAUUGUGGGAGGGGCACUACUUCCGCUGCGAGGCUUACGCAAAAAGACGUUAAAUUUAUGAAUAUGAAUGAGCCUCCUCCACUCGCAGCGAUCGCCGGUCGUCCGCACGCUGCACUCACAUGGCAUGGAGGCAACGAAACUGGGCCAAAUGUCAUUAAUACAUCAGAUCCGGACAUGCGAGCGGGAAGCAUAUAGCAAAUCAUGCGUUGACAGCGGGAACCACGCAGAUAGUGACGAAGAGGGGGGGGAGGGGAGUCUCGUAGCAUCUAGUAGGCCGGGCAGCAUUGGCCGGGGCGACGCCCACAUUUGGAGCGGAUUCCAAACUCCGACGACGACUGCUACUCCUACUUGGCCACAUCCACAUCCGAUUGCAGCCAGCUUGUUGUUGGUUGGCCGAGGAAUGUGCUAUUAUUAUGCCAACCGAGCGAAGAGAGAGCGCUUGGCCACUCCACGAUUUUCUGCAUCCGCCUCGCGGGAAUGCGAAUGCCAUAGAACGGGGUGGGGUAUAUGCUGUUUAGGGAGCUUACCUAGAUGUUAGUUGAUCGAAAUGCUACAACUUCCACUAUAUAGUUAUUUAAAGAUAAAAGAUACAUAUAUAUAACCCCUGGUCAGAACAAAAGUACGGCGCUUUUGAAGCUGUCGGCAUUGGGCCAGUGACACAGACUUGUGAAGAGACAGAGAUGCGGAUGCAACUAUCCAACUGGACUAUGGCCACAAAGGCGGGCGCUGGCCAGUGCAUUCAACUGGAAUUUGGGUCGGGUGGCGUGGCAAGAUGCAAGCGGCAAGACGCUCGAAUGCGCUUUCUUCCACAGCCACAGCCACAUCCACUGCCAUUUCCAUAUUCACUCCUGCUCCGGUUCCUGCGCCUCCCCCCCAAUUUCCCCCUUUCAUUAUCAGCGGGUUCAUUCAGGAGGGAAAUGGGGACUGGUGGGUGGGGCGGCGUCCGUCGGGCGGUUCGUUAGCGGGCCAAUUGUUGUCACUACUGCCUCUGUUUUUCUUUCCAUUUUUUUUUCUGCCUUUCAAUUGUGCGACUUUGUGGCGCUGCCCAACACUUGUAUGCUAAUGCAACAGCCUUCGCUUUCCCAGCACAGUGGGACCAGAAAAGCAGUUACCCGAACAAAGCAUAUGAUUUAAUAUAGAUGUAUAGGUAUAUUUUUUGAUAUCCUUUAGGAUCUGUGUAGAUGUGGUGUAGAUCGUCUUAGGCAUUCUUACCAACCGGACAUCAGCUUCAGCUUUUACCCGUGCGAGUACCAAUCCGACCCACUGUACCGCCCCAUUGCCUCAAUUGCAGUUGCAGUUGAUGGCUCUCGAGUGUGCGUGUGCCCAUUUGCAGCGGCGUCAGCGUCAGCGGCUUAUCUCCUCCAACCUGGCGGCCACUGCGGCACUGCACCACCGUGCAAAUGCAACUGCAACUGCGAGUGCAACUGACGAGCCACUGUUAAUUUUGCCAAGUUUUUUUUGCUGCCCAGUUUUUGCUGCUGUGCAAGUCUCUCAUGCAUAAAAUUGUACACGACAUAAUUUUUCAUGAAAUGGCUGGGAUCCUCCCGGUGCGGCGUCGUUGUCGACGUCUUUUUCCGACAUCUAACCAAGUCGAGUGGUACCAGUACUACUAUAUAGCCACCGGCUAUAUCCACAUUCACAUCCAUCCCGUUGCCGUUGUUUUGGGCAGGUUCGGUGCACUUUUUGCCGGCUGACCGCGCUCACUCGAGUAGAAAUUAUGUGCAAUUUGUCUAGCCAGGGGUCUGGUCUCUAGUCUCUAGACUCUAGACUCCACAACAGUCUGCAGUUCGAUUCCGAUUUCAUUAGACUCCGCCGCCCCGUGUACGGUUGCACAUAAAGGAAGUUCGCUGGUAUAGUGCAAAUUGAUAGGGUUUUACUAUUGUUUUUGGAUUGAAUUAUUUAUUUAAGUUCAAAAUGCAAUGGUUAACAUAACCACCCCACUCUGUUACUUGAUACAACUGCUGAUAUACAUAUGUAUGUAAGAAGAUUUAUGAUUCGAUUCCUCUAGUUUCUCCAAGUGCAUUGCUGCUUCUUAAUGAUCGGUGGGCAGUAUGCGCAUCACGUGCUUCCUAUUAGAUCGCGGGUAUUAUCAUUAGGUUCGGUGUGGUGUGCUUCGGUUCGGUUCGGUUCCGUUCGGGCCGACUUUCGACCAGGCCAAAAGCAAUUACACCGAAAGGGGGAAUUCUUUUGCCAUCGAAUCGGAUCGCAUCUACCGUACGAUCGCUGACCAUGCAGCCGGCUGGAAAUGGAAAUGGGUAUGCGAAUGGGAAGGAAAACGGUAAUGCCAGUGCCAGUACCAGUGCCUCUGCCAGUCCCUCCACGUCAUAGGUGUGCUCCUCAAGUGGUGGUAUAUCGCGGCCCUGCUGAUAAGUUGUAUUAAUUAUUUUUAUGGUCUUGACGUUGCUCCGUUGGUGUUGUAAAUAGUACAAACAGUCGGUCGAAAGUCCAAGAAGCUUUCGAUUGGGAAAUCUUGCUUGGUUUUCCCUUUGUUUUUUUUUUUUUUUCAAUUUUCUUUCAGCGGAUAGAAGAGGAACAGAACUCAAUUUCCGCCUGAGGCCGACUCUUUUCCACCCGGUAAGUGCCAGUGCCAUGUGAUUCAAACUUGAGUAUUUUCGUACCCUUGGCGUAUGUUUGUGGCUACAGGGCUAUGGCAUCACAUGUCAUUUAUAGUUGGGCCUACCGUCGUUGGCCUGUUGAUAAGCCGUAGAUUGAGCGCGUGCUUUGUGACUGGGCUGCUUGGGUCUGGUUGCUCCGGGCCUUAUUCCGCGUCUACCGAGGGGUCCACACAGGUGUGUGUACACUUUCGAAAUUCCAGAAAUUCUUGCGUCAAGUAGCCGCCCCGAAAACCUUAUCACUCAGACGAUCGUCCAUCCACUGAUUCCUGAGUUGCUCCACUGGAGGGCCGCGAAAGCGACGAAAGCUUGUCAAUGGAUGGCAUUGAUACGGGGACAGUUGGCUGGAUUGAUUGGUUUGAUUGUGGGCCAUCGUAAAUACACCUGGCGCCCGGUGUAUUUCAGGGAAAUUGCUAAUCAGAAAGGUGCACAGGCUUAACCGAAUAGAAUUUUAUAUUAUUAGAUUAAAUCAAGUAAAUUUAAAGAUCUCUUCAAGAAGAAAAUCCAUUCGAGUUCCAUUCCCAUAAAGAUCUAUAUCUAGAUUUAGUUCUAAACAGAAAUUACUUCUAGCUACUGAAAACCACGAUCAAUCGGGCCUAAUUUAUUUCCGUUUUCGUGAUAUUUUCGAGCCAGUUGGGGAUUGUCCCAUUUGGCAUUUGAUAUGCAUGCAGCCGACCGAUACAACACUCCUCCGCUUUUGGAUCCAGUAGAUCCCCCCAGCGAUCUGCGGCCAUAAAUAACCAGUAAAGCCUAUGGAAUUUCCUAUAAAUAAGUUCAUGACGAAUGUAACAAAAAUUCCCCGAGCAACCUUAGCCCCGCGCCCUUCUUUACAAAUGUGUGUGUGUGUUGUAAAUGACCUCGUUCACAUAAAGUUCAGAAAUUCCAUUUACAAACUUGUAAUUGAAAAAAUCCACACACACACGAGCGAGAUUGUCUAGAGACAAAGUCAAACACGUUGGAAUUUUUGUUUUUUACCGUUCAAUGACGAAUUUUACAGAGUGUGUGUGUGUGUGUGUGUGUGCGUUGUUUACGAAAAACAAAAAACAGAACGCCACCAGCUACAAACACACAAAGAAAAACAAAAUAAAAAAUAAAAAAAAACGAAAAUUCCAAAAAGACACUUACGAAAGCCCCGCAACAUUUUUUAUUGUUCCGUAGAUUACAACACAUAGGAAAACGCGAGAAGAGCUGAAAAAUUUUCGUUGUCGAGGAGGAGAGUGCGCUUCACACCGAUAUAUCAGUAUACUGAUGUGACAAAAUGCAAAAGUAGCACAGAUACAAAUGCAGAUAGGGAUACUCUUCUCGCAGUCUUCGAAAAAGAAGGCGUCUGGAAGGGGAUCGACUGGAAGGGGCAGUGUCGGUUUGUUUGUGGAAUGCCGUUUUGUAAGUUUCUUAUGCAUGCGACUUCAAACAUAGUUCGGCAUCGAAACUUUCUAGCACACCGACACACAUACGAACGCGAUCCAGCCGACACACACACACACACGCACGCAGCCACACACUUAAGCGACUUUCGAAAGGUACAACUUUUUACGAAGUCGCUGCCUCGGCCGCUGUGCAGCCGACGCCACUGCCGCUGCCGCUGUCGCUGCCUCUGUCGACUUCGAAUUCCAACGCCAAGAUGAAAGAUCGGCGCAAAAGAAAAGAAAUAUUCAUUCAGUAAAAUUUCAUAGCUGCAGCCGCAUGGUUGUGCCGCUCUCGCCUGCUCUUGCUUUUCGCGCAACAAACCGAAACGAGAAACACAUAAAUAUAAAAGUGUGAACAUUGGCGUACAUAUAAAAACUUAAAACUUAACUUAACUUGAGCAACAUGAAACAAAUAAACACGGGAAAGCGGUUCCAGCGAAGAGGUUCCAAGGAGAGCAGACACAACCGCAUUCCAGAAAGUUUAAAUAACGCUGGAAGGAGGGGGAAAGUGGAAAACUAAACUCGAACUCGAACUCAGUGUGCCAGUGUAUGUGUGUGGAAUGCAGAAGAGGAAGAAGCAGCAGCAGCAGAAUAAGCAGCGAAUAGAAAAUAUGUCUUCAAACUGGUUUUUCGGUUUUUAGACUGUCGUCGUCGGCCAAUCGGGUUCCAUUGACAUCCGAACGAAAAAAAUAAUGCCUAACCUUCGAUGGGAACACUCGUAAGUCGGAAUUCACACACAGCAUGCACACACAACGCCGUUUAUUGGCUGAAAUUGGAUGCUGUGUGUAUGUGCGGUUAUUUAGAAAUUCAAAUUGAAAUUUUUCAAGCGUGAGUCAUGCGACUGAGCGUGGGUUUUUGAGACCCGUUUCAUUCUUCCCGACUCGACGAUCCUAACCUUCACUGAGAACAGGAGUUAGCCGCCAGAACGUGAAUGGGAACAGAAUCGGGAACGGGAACAGUCAUAAAAGUUGCAUCACUCAGCACAAAAAGACGAAGAGGCGGGCAGACGGAGACACAAACAAGUCAACCACCAGCAUAGAAUGCGGCUGCCAGACAGGCGAGACGGCAAUAGUAGUGGCGGCAAGAAAAGGCGCGACAAGCAGAAGAACCGUUUUACUGAGAAAAGAAGACCGGGCACGCGGCGUCAGGGUGCGAGCGGGAUGGCAGAACAGGCAAAGGGAAAAGGGAGCGAAAAACACUGAGAGAAAUAAGAGUAAGGUGAACAUGAAAAUUAAAAUCUUACUGAACUCGUAUAUUCUUUGCAGCAAUACUGUGGUUAAACGACAGUCAAUUAAAAAUUUGUUUGUGCAUCGUAAGAAAAUGUACCACAUUGAAUAUCUAAGUUUAGAAUGUUGAGAGUCGUUUUUCCUUAGCCUCAAAACUUCGUAAUUCAAGCGAUAUUAAACGUAAUAUUUUUUCACAGUGUCAUCGGUCGUUCUCUUCGCUCAGACUUAUCCCGUUUGUUUUGCAGUUCCUCGUCUGCAUUCCGUUGUUUCGUCCGAAAACCAAAUUCAGCAGAAAAAAGGCCCUUCAACGGGAAUAUCGAUAUGAUAUCGAUGGGAGAACCGAUUUUUCGGGACCAUUAAUUUGCAUAUGCGAAAAUCGAAGGAGUUACAGAAAAGGGCAGCAAGCGGUGCGUUUUAAUACCACAACAUAAAUGUCAAUUAAAAACGAUAUUUGUAUUGUCAAGUUGCGCCCGUCGCAUCGCCAUAAAUGUGUUAUAAAAAAGCUAACGGUUAAUGCUACGGUCUGCUGAAGUUCAUGUGUGGAAGAGUGAAAAAAAUGAGAAAAGAGGGAAAGAAACAAAAACUAUUCGCCGCUCAAUAGAAAGUUUGUGUUAAUAAAAAAUACCUAAAAACUUAAACACACAAAAUAUGUGUGUCGAAAUAUGUAUGGCAGCAACAAAAAAGAGUGAAUGAAAAAAUGUUGACCUAAUUUUCGGGGCCCAGUUGGGGUUGUUGUUUUUGGUCUUGUUUAUUUCAGCAACGUCGACGGUGGCAGAGGCGGCGCAUACUUUCCCACACAGCUUCCAGCUCAUUCCCAUUCCAGAUUCCAGGCCAUUCCCAGCAGCGUGCGAUCAUCGCGGGAGCAGCGCCACCGUUCCCUUCGCACGCUUUCCUCUCCGUCCCGCUGGAACGACGUCUAAAUUAAUGAUUGUUAAAUGGAGAUUGUGUAUUUUAUGUUAGUGUGUAUGUGCUAGGCACUCCACAUACCAAUGCAAUUGGAGAAAUACGGGCGCGCCUGCGCAGAAACUAUUUAUAAAGGUAUGUAAUCCCCAAUUUGAUAACUCACAGGCAUUUUACAGUUCAUGUCCCCCACCCAAAAAAAAAAAAGCAAAAACUCAGCGCCACUAAUUGUGUGCUAUUUUUAUGAAACAAAACAAAAAAAAAACGAAAAGAAAAGAAGGAAAGAAUGAAAGACUAAAACCUUAAGAUCAUUUUUUUUUUCUCGCGGCGCGUGUGAAAAUAUUUAGGCUAGCCAAGGUAUUUUUAUUCUCGCCUCUUGUGGAUCUUUUGAGUCUCUCGUUCUUCGCUUCUCUGUGGUCUUUCUUGCUUUUUAAAGUGUUAACUGGCAGCAUAUAAUUUCGGUCGACUUGACAUACAUUAUAAUUAUAGUUAUUAAAUGUGAGCCAGGCACGUGCGUGAAAAACGCUCAGAUGCAGAUGUUGUUGAUGUUAUAAAGACCACGAUCGAAAGAGGAAAAACGGAAAACGAACGAAAAGCGUUUGUAACUCCAAUGAUUUGACUACGAAACCGGUUUUCGAUUUGGUUUGACUGUUUUUCAUACAAGUGAGAUCAUUUUGAAAGCUGAUUUUGUCAAUGAAUACCACAUUCCACAUUCCGAUGGUCGAUUUUUGUUGUUUGGUGUGCCUACACAGAUAUAGCGAUAUCGUGUAACAAAGCUUUGAACUUAUGCCGACCGAUCCCAGUCGGAUCGAGAUGGGGAUGGAGAUGGGGCUGGGAAAUCGAAGGUGAGUGCAGUGUCAUGGCACUUAUAAAAACUUAUUUAGUUAUAGGCUUGAUGGAUUUAAAAGGUUCAAAGGUUUUGACUACAAUUAUGUUCAUAAAAAUAUUUGUACAAGAAUAAAUGCAUAUUUUAGAAAAAUAAAAAGAUGCCGAUGCUGACCACAUGUUAAAUCUGCCUAUAACUAGUCAAAAAUCAUGUAUUUUGUACGCCAUGUCUUGUGAUAUUAUCUUUUAAUUACCAUUAAUAAGAAAAUAAAAUAUUUUGGAUAAAUGUUAAUUCCAUAGAAAUAGGAUUCAUACUGAUGGGUGGAUUUUGCUCAGUGUAAGAGCCGCGCCUGCGCCGCUGUUGUAGCUAGCUACAUUGUCUCUAUUCCUCUUUUCCGACUGUCAUCCCAAGGCGAGUUGGAUGUUGGACGUGGAGAAUGAAAAUCGGAGUCAAUGAGAAGGCCUGCUUGGGUAAACAGCAUUCCAAGCAUACCAGCGGCGACCGAAUCUAAACAACUUGAUGUUGGUAUUUUAUGCUUUGUUUGCCCAUUACAAAAGCCCUUUUGAGUCGUAAACGCGGCGCUGAUAACGUUGCGAAGACGAUAAGCGAUGUAUGCGUGUAGUUAAAGGUAUAGUGCCAUGGAGUACGUAACCCGGUCGGGCCGAUCCACCUGGGCAAUGAACUCCGACCGACCGACCGACCGACCGACCGACCGACCGACGAUUUUUUCAUUCAUGAAACGAUCGACAAAGUGGAGCACGUUGGACAGAGGUGGGGAGCUAUACGGCCGAAAAGUCGUGAUAAACAUAUUUACCAAUUGAUUAUUUUCCAGCACAAACACGCGUUGGCUUACAUAAGUGCCAACAUAUAUCGCUUAGUAUAUAUGUAUGUAUGUAGCUUCUGGCAUAUAGCACAUGCCAAGGUGCUAAUCAGCAUGCACACACACAUCGAUUUCCACAUAGGUCCACGUACAUGCGAUGGAUUCGGAUUUGGAUUUGGAAUAGGAAUAGGAAUCGGAAUGGGCAUGGGCAUGGGCAUGGGUAAGGGCGCUUGGAUAUGGGGUGACUUUCUAAAUGCCCCGUGGCAGCUGCAGCUGUUUCUUCCCCACUUCCCGGUUCCGAUUUCCUAGAAUUCAAUAUAAACUCGUAUGCUAUGCAAACUGGAGCGACGACUCCCCCGGAAUGCCUUGUGUAACUAAAUUUAAACGCCUUAUUGGCCCAAAAUGUGCCACUUCACAUGGCGACUUAGUGGGCAGUUAUUGUGCUAUGCCUCAUUAGGAUGGAUGAUCAAAGCCGAAAGAUAUCCGAAAACAAGUAUUUGUCUAGAUUUUGGUGCUUAUCUAUAAAGCUCCACAGUUUUUGUUCUUAGAUAAUUUGUAAUCAUUACUUAAAGGUAUUAUCCCAGAUCUUAUUGGAUUGUAUUGUAUUACAUGUUGGAUUUAAAGAGAUGUAGAAAAUAAACGUGCAUUCGGUGCUCAAAU
ensembl:ncRNA lncRNA:CR43334 long non-coding RNA:CR43334